UACAUGGGGUGCAAACGUUGCUCGGAAUCACUGGGCGUAAAGGGCGCGUAGGUGGCGACCCAAGUCGAUGGUGAAAGCUCGCCGCUCAACGGCGAGUCGGCCACCGAUACUGGGUUGCUCGAGCACUGUAGAGGCUAAUGGAAUUCCGGGUGUAGCGGUGGAAUGCGUAGAGAUCCGGAAGAACACCGGUGGCGAAGGCGGUUAGCUGGGCAGUUGCUGACACUGAGGCGCGACAGCGUGGGGAGCAAACAGG
rnacentral:rRNA from 1 species